rnacentral:rRNA from 1 species
UACGAAGGGUGCAAGCGUUAAUCGGAAUUACUGGGCGUAAAGGGCGCGUCGGCGGCAGGCCCAGCGUGCGGUGAAAGUCCGGGGCUCAACCCCGGAUCUGCCGUGCGGACUGGUUUGCUAGAGCACUGUAGAGGCGAGUGGAAUUCCGGGUGUAGCGGUGGAAUGCGUAGAGAUCCGGAAGAACACCGGUGGCGAAGGCGGCUCGCUGGGCAGUGGCUGACGCUGAGGCGCGACAGCGUGGGGAGCAAACAGG